CCGGGUACUGUAUUUGACGAUCUUUCUAUGUCACCUCCACUGCGCUGCCUAGUUUGCUAUUUGAACAAGGUGCAAUAUGUUAUGGAAUGUGGACAUGCAUUCUGCACGACUUGUACAGCUACCUUCUUCAAUGUCCAAGUUGCUUAGUGUGCAAUGUGUAGAGCAGAACUGCACGGUGAAUCUCUCCCUCUGUACCUUUAGGUUACGAUGUUCGGCCUCCAUCACCACCUCAAAUUGUUCAGAAUAGCACUCCUCCGGCUUUUCAAUUUCCCCCAAUUCCAGAAAAAAAUAGAAUAUUAUUUGCUGAGUUAGGCAAUGAGGAUGAUUUGGAUCGGAUCGUCGAACGUCGUUGGGGACCAACGAUUCCGACCACUUUAUUCGACGAUCUUUCUACGUCUGCAAUGAGUUCCCUAGUUUGCUAUAUGAAUAAGGUGCAAUAUGUUAUGGUAUAUGUGGGCAUGCAUUCUGCAUGACUUGUACAGCUACCUUACUUAAUGUCCAAGCUGCUAAGUGUUGAAUAUGUACAGCAGAACUGCACGGUGAACCUAUCCC